rnacentral:rRNA from 1 species
GACGGAGGGUGCUAGCGUUGUUUCGGAAUCACUGGGCGUAAAGGGCGCGUAGGCGGCCUUGCAAGUCGGUUGGUGAAAGCCCGGGGCUCAACCCCGGAGGUGCGGCCGAGACUGCAGGGCUGGAGGCCGGAAGAGGAGGGUGGAAUACCCAGUGUAGAGGUGAAAUUCGUAGAUAUUGGGUGGAACACCCGUGGCUAAGGCGGCUCUCUAGUACGGUACUGACGCUGAGACGCGAAAGCGUGGGGAGCGAAACAGG